rnacentral:lncRNA from 1 species
GCCCUGCUUUUAACACCUGUGUGUGUGUUUGUGGUAUAUCAGCUGCCCUGCUUUUAACACCGUGGUGUGUGUGUGUUAGUCAGCUGCCCUGCUUUUAACACCUGUGUGUGUGUAUGUUUAUCAGCUGCCCUGCUUUUAACAACCUGUGUGUGUGUGUAUGUUAUCAGCUGCCCUGCUUUUAACACCUGUGUGUGUGUGUAUGUUAUCAGCUGCCCUGCUUUUAACCCUGUGUGUGUUGUGGUUUAUCAGCUGCCCUGCUUUUAACACCUGUGUGUGUGUGUGUGUGUGUGUUAUCAGCUGCCCUGCUUUUAACACCUGUGGUGUGUUGUGUGUUAUCAGCUGCCCUGCUUUUAACACCUGUGUGUGUGUUGUUAUCAGCUGCCCUGCUUUUAACACCUGUGGUGUGUUGUUAUCAGCUGCCCUGCUUUUAACACCUGUGUGUGUGUUUGUUAUCAGCUGCCCUGCUUUUAACACCUGUGUGGUGUAUGUUAUCAGCUGCCCUGCUUUAACACCUGUGUUGUGUGUGUAUCACUGCCCUGCUUUAACACUGUGUGUGUUGUGUUAUCAGCUGCCCUGCUUUUAACACCUGUGUGUGUAUGUUAUCAGCUGCCCUGCUUUUAACACCUGUGUGUGUGUGUUAUCAGCUGCCCUGCUUUUAACACCUGUGUGUGUGUGUGUAUGUUAUCAGCUGCCCUGCUUUUAACACCUGUGUGUGUAUGUUAUAGCUGCCCUGCUUUUAACACCUGUGUGGGUGUUAUCAGCUGCCGCUUUUAACACCUGUGUGUGUGUGUGUAUGUUUUCAGCUGCCCUGCUUUUAACACCUGUGUGUGUGUUGUUGUUAUCAGCUGCCCUGUUUUAAAACCUGUG